GUGCCAUGUGGAGAAGUUCAAAUUAUCCAGGAAGAUUUGCCAUUAAGGACUCCACGGGAUGCUUUUGGAGAAUUGGCUCCAAGGAGUACUGUUCAGCGGCACAGUCUCUCAUGUGCAUUGGCUUCAUAUACUUCUUGCUCUAGAUCACUUACAUCCAGGGAUGAGGAGAAUGAUUCCGCCUCUAAUUCAGAAGAAAGCUUUGAACGUGAGCUUUCAUUGAGAGAGAGGAAAAUCCACCAAGCAGCCAUUGAUUCCAGUGAAUCUUGUAGCGAUGAGGAGAUAUCUGGUUCAGAGGCAGAACACCAACAUGCGAUGUCACAUCUAAAUGAUUCUGAUUCUUUAGGGUCAAUGCAAUCUGACUGUGAGAAGGAA
rnacentral:misc_RNA from 1 species